AACGAACGCUGGCGGCAGGCCUAACACAUGCAAGUCGAGCGAGAUCUUCGGGUCUAGCGGCGGACGGGUGCGUAACGCGUGGGAAUAUGCCCUUCUCUGCGGAAUAGCCUCGGGAAACUGAGCGUAAUACCGCAUACGCCCUUUGGGGGAAAGAUUUAUCGGAGAAGGAUUAGCCCGCGUUGGAUUAGGUAGUUGGUGGGGUAACGGCCUACCAAGCCGACGAUCCAUAGCUGGUUUGAGAGGAUGAUCAGCCACACUGGGACUGAGACACGGCCCAGACGCGGCCGGGGGGCGGCAGGGGGGAAGCUGAGACAGGGGGGGCACGCCGGGACCAGCGGGGGGGGGGGAGUGAUGAAGGCCGGAGGGUCGGGAAGUGCUAGAGGAGGGGAAGAGAAUGGCGGUACAAGCAGAAGAAGCCCCGGCUAACGCCGGGCCAGAGGCCGCGGUAGUAGUCGGACGAGCACACGGCUGAAC
rnacentral:rRNA from 1 species